UAAAAUCAUGUUAAUAUAUAAUCACUUGUUUUAAUAGCAGGUGGUUUUCCCCACUCAUGACCUCCACAACUGGAUCCUCCUGCAAUUCUGGUAAACCGUCAAUUCAACUGCCCCAAUCUCCCCUAAUUUUAGGGUUUCAAGAGGUUAAAUAUAGAAUGAUGAGCGCAAGAAGGAAAUCUGAAGUGGAGUUCUCUUUGACGACGGUUCCCCCAAUCUCUUGUAAUUGGCGAUUUGUGCAAAUUUUUCCGGUCUCAAAACAUCCCCUGUUUCGGUUGAAAAGUUAGCCAGAUGCUAUGUGUCUAAUCUUUUAAACGAGGCAUACAUUGUCAUUGAAACUUCAAAUAUUCUGCAUCCUUCUAAUGUUCUUAUUUUUGGUUAUGUCAGAGUUGUGUGUUUGAAAGAUGGGUUGUAUAUGUAUCGAAAAUGGUGGGUAAAGGGGCUACACCUGAUUUUAAUUUGUGGUGAAGAUUUUAAUUUGGGUUUUGGGAGGGUGGUUCAUGAAUCUAUUGUGAAGGCAGGUUUGGAAUGGAAUUUGUUUGUGCGUGUAAGGCGUUGAUGUUUAUGUAAGUGAAAUGUGGGGUCUUGAAUGUUGCACGCAAGUUGUUCGAUGAAAUGCCUGUGACAGUUAAAUCCUCCAACCGGUACAAUUUGUCAUGUUUCAUGAUUGUAGGUGAUUUUUUAUGUUUAAUCAAAGUCAAUAUCAAAAGCUUGAAAGAGAAUGAACUGGUUUGUCUAAGGGCUCAUAUAUGCUUUUGGAACCAAACAAAGAGGGGCGCAUGUCUCUUGACACAGCUUUAGAACGAUCAUAUUUUUGGAAACAGUUUGUAAUGAUCGCUAGAUAAUUGAAAGAAAUAUCCGACUCAAGAUUCAACAGAGUCCCGAUGCUGAUGAGUAUGCUUACUUUAUAAAACCAUCUUAUUUUUCAAUUGAAGGUGUAUAUAUAUGGACCAUCUUUAUAUAUUCUUUAACAUGCCAAAUGUUGAAGCUCGGUAUAAGGACUUUAAACGCCGGCUUGAUAAUUACGAGAAGGUUUAUGCGCCGAUUAAUGACGUGAUAUAUAUGGUUAGUGGCCAUGGGGCCAGAUACAAGUAAGUAUCAAGUGAAGACGCAUUUGACACCUUGCAAAUUUUGCUUACCAGGCUCGGUGAGAGUCGCGAUAAUGUGAGAGCAAGAAUUGGUGGUGACACUCCCUUAAGGCUGUUCUAAGAGAAUUAUGUGUCAAAUUUGCUGAUAGGCCAUUGAAAGAAAUUCCACACAUAGAGGUAACCAACAAAUCAUUAGAUCAAUCAUUUUAGUUUUAGUUUUGUAACCUUAGAAAACACCGUUAAUGCGUUCAAGUAUUGGGGAUUUCAAAUGCCACACCAUAUGAUAAUCGAGAUACAAAUGGGAGUGACUGGUGUGCAGGAGAAAUAGUACAAACUCAUGGAUUGAUAAUCAUGGAAACCAAGAAAUGAAUUCUUAGUUUGAAGGAAUUUUGGGAAUAUGUAAUUCAAGUAACAUUUGUUAAUGGAAGGAUCUCGUAUAUUCAUGAAGGUGCUGAAUUUCUUGCAAGGAUCACAACUGAUGAAUGGGUUAGCUUAUAGGUUAGCUUUUUAUGUCACAUUAGUUCAUAUAAUUGUGUAAUCUGACUCUGUUUUAUAUCUUUAUAUUCAUUCAUUCAUGUUAUAUUACAUUAA